GCUCUCAAGUUUAAAGUUAGAACCGAAAUCCGCGCGUCGAGAUUCCCGCAGCAACUUUCCAUCUCUCUUAAAUCAGCUUUCCUGCUGAUGUUUUCAAAUGGGGGCGGAAGCUUGGUUUAGGUUUGAGAUAUAUCGGAAAUCCCCUUGUGGCUUGGCCUACUUCUGUUGAUAUUCCAUUCUCUUCAAAGAAAAUUAAGAUGCCAUCAGGUCAUGCACAGCUGAACGAUCCAGGGUAAUGUGGCAUUCGGAGUCUUUGGAGGAGCGCGAGAACAAGGACGAGGAGACCAUAUAUUUCCAUGUAACUACCUGAUAGCAAUCGAUGUCGCCAACGACUUAUUCUUACGCAUUCGUAUGGCACGCACUACAUAAGCAGUAAAACUUGAGACAGUUGAUGGCGUAUCCAACAUUUGGCAUUUGGGUGAUGUAGGAAGCCCAAUAUCAGGGGCUACUAUGACAGAGGCAGUGCUUUCAAUCAUGACUUGCUAGUCUUGGUAUGAUGAAUCGAGACAGGGAAUAUAUUAUACAGCGUCUGUUGGCACCUGGGAAAUAUGUGGUACACCUUACGCUCAGUCGCUGGGAAACAGCGGAGUUGAGGA
rnacentral:sRNA from 1 species